ensembl:lncRNA
CUCCUCCCUCUCCGCUGCUGCUCUGUGUCCUGACUCCCAGGGUCGUCAGGGAAAGCGCACAGGCUGUCACCCUGCAGUAUAGUUCAGGGGUGGUUCCCGGGCUGACCCUCAAGCUCCCAGCUGCAGAGCAAGGGGUCCAGUCCCCCAGGAAAAAGCCUGGCUACCAGCCUAGCGUGUUCACGGUGAGGCCCCUCCACCCCUGCGGGCUGAAGGCGCCCAGGCUGGCCGAGGCCGUCCUGCCAGGACCCUGUGUUGACCGCACCAGGGCCCCCGACGUGGCUCCCAGACGCCAACCCUGGGUGAGGGCUGCCUUCAGAAUCCCCGUUCCCUGGGAUCCGCCUUCUGCGAUGAGGCUGCGAGGAGCUCUGUGCUGGCGGAGCAGGAGCGGAAGGCUGGCAAAGCCUCUGCAGGAGGCCACGUCUACUGCCAUCAACCUGGCAGCCGAGGCGGGAGGACACGGGUGUAGGUGGCCUCCAGGCACGUUCCUGUUUGUGUGACAUUCACCGUGACACGGAACAAACUGGCGGUACAAAGGGCUCCUGUGUUCUGACAAGCCAAGGGCCUUGCAGGAGCUCAAGGAGAAGAAAGAGCCGGAACGCAAACAAGCACAACCUCUCCUGAAAGCAGACCCCUGGGCAAACACAGGGCCCUCGGCUUCCCGGCCGCACCCUGGGCUCUGCGGUCAAGUGCAGAUCAGCUCACGCUAAGUCGAUUCGGCUCGGCUGGGUUAAGUUCAAGGCCAUUGGGAGCCCAGCCCUGGGGGAGCGAGUGAGCCCAGGAGGUGGGGAGAGGCCAGGAUCUGAACCGUCGAGUGACGAGGGUCCUUCACGACACGCACCAUGCACUGUGACACGGGACACGCAGGGCGGUGCAGCUGUAGGCCGGGCGGUCAGGCCCUUCUUCCCAGGAGGUGGCGGCUGUUCUGGGCUUGGCAGGACGACAGCAGAGGCUGGACGGACGCAGGACAGGGAGGUGGACGAACACGCCCCAACUCAGCAUAAAAGCGUGUGGUGCGUUGACACACGUUGCACCGUCAAGCAGUUGGGACAGAGCGGGCUCGCGUUUGACCAGACUUCACUGAGAACUGAACCCGGCUCACAGGCGUCCACCCCGGGGGCGUGAGGGAACUGACCGCACACUCGCCUCGGGCUUCGCGCAGAAUGAAGCUGGUGUCUCCCCCCACCGCUCAUGUGCCUUCUGAGUUGUGACCCGUAGCCGACACAGGUGGGUCAGGACGCCAUGUGCGUCAGUCCAGAGCAGCGGCAGGAAUAUUCCCGAAAACCAAGACGACACGGGAAGCCAGCUCGGCACUACAGUGACCGUUACCCUCUACACGUCCCACUGAACCCAAAACUGCCCUCGGCCCCUGAACACGAGGAGAGAGAUGGCUCCACAAAUUGACAGAAUCUCGUGAUCACGGGAGCACCUGGCUGCAGCGUGGAGGAGGCCCAAGGGGGACGUCUAGUGUCUGUGUGAGGCCGCAGAACUGCGGGACCCCAGGCAUGCGAGCCUGCGACGUUGCUGGCGGUUGCCAUUACUCUCACUCGGGGCACAGUUCACGCCCACCCACAGCCGGUGAGAGCUGCCGAGAGCCACAUCCCAGCGACGCCUGUUGUCAG